rnacentral:tRNA from 2 species
GGCCGAGUGGUGGAAUGGUAGACACGCACGACUCAAAAUCGUGUGCCUGCAAGGGCAUGAGAGUCCGACUCUCUCCUCGGCCACCA